GUGAAGAACGUAGCGAAAUGCGAUAAGUAAUGUGAAUUGCAGAAUUCAGUGAAUCAUCGAAUCUUUGAACGCACAUUGCGUCCAUUAGUAUUCUAGUGGGCAUGCCUGUUCGAGCGUCAUUAAGUCCACUUAAGCCCUGCUUAGUGUUGGGAGACUGCUCCAGCGGUGCUACCCUGUAGCUACCCUGCAGCUCCUCAAAGACAGCGGCGGAGUUGUGGUAUCCUCUGAGCUUAGUAACUUGUUCUAGCUUUCGAGUACACCACUUCCCCUGCCGUAAAACCCUUAAUUUUUAAUGGUUGACCUCGGAUCAGGUAGGAAUACCCGCUGAACUUAAGCAUAUCAAUAAGCGGAGGA
rnacentral:misc_RNA from 1 species